GGACUAUAGGGUAGAACAUGUCAAAUUCCAGAAAACAGGUCAAAACCUGGUUAAAUCUAAGUUUUACAGAAAACAGGAAUGAACUUAUUUUGACCUUGUAACAAGAUGGCUUUUACUCUUAAGAUGGAGUCAGGCUGGCCCAUCAGAGUGUCUUAAUUAAGCAUACAGAGACCUACAGAGAAUCUGCACCUUCCACGCACCGCAGCUUUGCCAAACCCCAUAUCUGAAAACAGAGAGUGCAAAGGAGAAGAAAGAUGGCUGGAAUCCACGAAAUGAAAACCCUGUUCUCUCUGACAUCGUGUAAGGUUCCGGGACAAAACUCAGAUGGCCAGGCUUCCCACAAAACCAUCUCGUCCUUCUUCUUAUGAAGUGAAAGCCAUGUCUGUGAAUUUGGGCUGGUGAUCUCUUCCCAGAGACGUGGACUGUGGAUCGUGCUCUUCGUCUAAAGCUCAUCCUGUAGCUGUGUUUCUGGGAUCUCCUUUGGUACCAAAGAUUUCGGUUUUAAUAAAGUCAAACAUAUGAUUUA